UACGUAGGGCGCAAGCGUUGUCCGGAAUUAUUGGGCGUAAAGAGCUCGUAGGCGGUCUGUCACGUCGGCUGUGAAAAACCCGGGGGCUCAACCCCCGGGCCUGCAGUGGGUACGGGCAGACUAGAGUGCGGUAGGGGGAGACUGGAAUUCCUGGUGUAGCGGUGAAAUGCGCAGAUAUCAGGAGGAACACCGGUGGCGAAGGCGGGUCUCCUGGGCCGAUGACUGACACUGAGGACGAAAGCGUGGGAG
rnacentral:rRNA from 1 species